rnacentral:lncRNA from 1 species
CUUUUUCCCCUGGACACCAUUGCCAAAUGUUUCUUUUAAGGAGAUGGAAUUUCCCAGCAGGCGUCUUGUUUGUGGGUAGAGAAGUUAAUAAUGCCGGUGCUUUCUUACUGAACCGAGAGGCCAACUGUUGAUAUCUUUAAGAGCAUGUUAAUAUUCCAUUUGUGGUCAGAGUGACUCAGUCUCGAAUCAUGGGGCACUUUGCCAUUUCAAAGAGGAAAAGCCUUAGUCCUCUUAGACUUCAGUUAAUAGCCCAUGUUUAGUAAUUCUUUCUUGGUUAACCCAAAAAUUGC